rnacentral:rRNA from 1 species
AAUGGGUCAGCGACUUAUAUUCUGUAGCAAGGUUAACCGAAUAGGGGAGCCGAAGGGAAACCGAGUCUUAACUGGGCGUUAAGUUGCAGGGUAUAGACCCGAAACCCGGUGAUCUAGCCAUGGGCAGGUUGAAGGUUGGGUAACACUAACUGGAGGACCGAACCGACUAAUGUUGAAAAAUUAGCGGAUGACUUGUGGCUGGGGGUGAAAGGCCAAUCAAACCGGGAGAUAGCUGGUUCUCCCCGAAAGCUAUUUAGGUAGCGCCUCGUGAAUUCAUCUCCGGGGGUAGAGCACUGUUUCGGCAAGGGGGUCAUCCCGACUUACCAACCCGAUGCAAACUGCGAAUACCGGAGAAUGUUAUCACGGGAGACACACGGCGGGUGCUAACGUCCGUCGUGAAGAGGGAAACAACCCAGACCGCCAGCUAAGGUCCCAAAGUCAUGGUUAAGUGGGAAACGAUGUGGGAAGGCCCAGACAGCCAGGAUGUUGGCUUAGAAGCAGCCAUCAUUUAAAGAAAGCGUAAUAGCUCACUGGUCGAGUCGGCCUGCGCGGAAGAUGUAACGGGGCUAAACCAUGCACCGAAGCUGCGGCAGCGACGCUGAUGCGUUGUUGGGUAGGGGAGCGUUCUGUAAGCCUGCGAAGGUGUGCUGUGAGGCAUGCUGGAGGUAUCAGAAGUGCGAAUGCUGACAUAAGUAACGAUAAAGCGGGUGAAAAGCCCGCUCGCCGGAAGACCAAGGGUUCCUGUCCAACGUUAAUCGGGGCAGGGUGAGUCGACCCCUAAGGCGAGGCCGAAAGGCGUAGUCGAUGGGAAACAGGUUAAUAUUCCUGUACUUGGUGUUACUGCGAAGGGGGGACGGAGAAGGCUAUGUUGGCCGGGCGACGGUUGUCCCGGUUUAAGCGUGUAGGCUGGUUUUCCAGGCAAAUCCGGAAAAUCAAGGCUGAGGCGUGAUGACGAGGCACUACGGUGCUGAAGCAACAAAUGCCCUGCUUCCAGGAAAAGCCUCUAAGCAUCAGGUAACAUCAAAUCGUACCCCAAACCGACACAGGUGGUCAGGUAGAGAAUACCAAGGCGCUUGAGAGAACUCGGGUGAAGGAACUAGGCAAAAUGGUGCCGUAACUUCGGGAGAAGGCACGCUGAUAUGUAGGUGAAGUCCCUCGCGGAUGGAGCUGAAAUCAGUCGAAGAUACCAGCUGGCUGCAACUGUUUAUUAAAAACACAGCACUGUGCAAACACGAAAGUGGACGUAUACGGUGUGACGCCUGCCCGGUGCCGGAAGGUUAAUUGAUGGGGUCAGCGCAAGCGAAGCUCUUGAUCGAAGCCCCGGUAAACGGCGGCCGUAACUAUAACGGUCCUAAGGUAGCGAAAUUCCUUGUCGGGUAAGUUCCGACCUGCACGAAUGGCGUAAUGAUGGCCAGGCUGUCUCCACCCGAGACUCAGUGAAAUUGAACUCGCUGUGAAGAUGCAGUGUACCCGCGGCAAGACGGAAAGACCCCGUGAACCUUUACUAUAGCUUGACACUGAACAUUGAGCCUUGAUGUGUAGGAUAGGUGGGAGGCUUUGAAGUGUGGACGCCAGUCUGCAUGGAGCCGACCUUGAAAUACCACCCUUUAAUGUUU